rnacentral:rRNA from 1 species
AUUGAACGCUGGCGGCAUGCUUUACACAUGCAAGUCGAACGGUAACAGGCCGCAAGGUGCUGACGAGUGGCGAACGGGUGAGUAAUGCAUCGGAACGUGCCCAGUCGUGGGGGAUAACUACUCGAAAGAGUAGCUAAUACCGCAUACGAUCUAUGGAUGAAAGCGGGGGACCGUAAGGCCUCGCGCGAUUGGAGCGGCCGAUGUCAGAUUAGGUAGUUGGUGGGGUAAAAGCUCACCAAGCCAACGAUCUGUAGCUGGUCUGAGAGGACGACCAGCCACACUGGGACUGAGACACGGCCCAGACUCCUACGGGAGGCAGCAGUGGGGAAUUUUGGACAAUGGGCGCAAGCCUGAUCCAGCAAUGCCGCGUGCAGGAAGAAGGCCUUCGGGUUGUAAACUGCUUUUGUACGGAACGAAACGGCUCUGGUUAAUACCCGGGGCUAAUGACGGUACCGUAAGAAUAAGCACCGGCUAACUACGUG